rnacentral:misc_RNA from 1 species
GUUUGAUUGUAGUAGUUGAACCACUGUGGCGGAUUGCCCAUAUCUGAUCGAGCAGCAGCACCGGACUUCGGUCUGGUGGCGAGUGGCGAACAGGUGAGUAAUGUAUCGAACGUGCCUAGUAGCGGGGAUAACUACGCGAAAGCGUAGCUAAUACACAUACGCCCUUCGAAGCUUGGGGACCUUGGAACUCGCACUGUGCCAACAAGCUAAUGUCGGAUUGGCCUAGUUGGUGGAGUAACGGCUCACCCCAAGGCGACGAUCCGUAGCUGGUUUGGGGCGAUAAGCACACUGGGACUGAGACACGGCCCAGACUCCUACGGGAGAGCAGCAGUGGGGAAUUUUUGGACAAUGGGGAAACCUGAUCCAGCCAUCCCGCGUGUGCGAUGAAGGCCUUCGGGUUGUAAAGCACUUUUGGCAGGGAAAGAAACGCAGCGCAGGAUAAUACCC